rnacentral:tRNA from 1 species
GGCCUUAUCGUCAAGUGGUUAAGACGUAAUUUUUUCACAAUUAUAUGCGAGGGUUCGAACCCCUCUGAGGCUA